rnacentral:rRNA from 1 species
UACGGGGGGGGCAAGCGUUGUUCGGAUUUACUGGGCGUAAAGCGCACGUAGGCGGAUCGUUAAGUCGGGGGUGAAAUCCUGGAGCUCAACUCCAGAACUGCCUUCGAUACUGGCGAUCUUGAGUCCGGAAGAGGUGAGUGGAACUCCUAGUGUAGAGGUGGAAUUCGUAGAUAUUAGGAAGAACACCAGUGGCGAAGGCGGCUCACUGGUCCGGUGCUGACGCUGAGGUGCGAAAGCGUGGGGAGCAAACAGG